rnacentral:rRNA from 1 species
GACGGAAGGUGCAAGCGUUGCUCGGAAUCACUGGGCGUAAAGGGUGCGUAGGCGGCUUGGUAGGUCUGGUGUGAAAGCCCCGGGCUCAGCCCGGGAAGGGCACUAGAAACUGCCAAGCUAGAGUGCCGGAGGGGAGAGUGGAAUUCCUGGUGUAGCGGUGAAAUGCGUAGAGAUCAGGAGGAAUACCGGUGGCGAAAGCGACUCUCUGGACGGCAACUGACGCUGAGGCACGAAAGCGUGGGUAGCAAACAGG